CGAAACCAGAAGAGGGCGUAUGGCUAGAGUUUCACCCUAAGAAGAAAGGGGAAGCAGGUGGAAAAGCAAUUAAAAAAAAAUCAGCUGGAACUUGCCCCACCAGAUUCUCUUUCGGUGAUUCAGAGCUGAAGGUGCCUCACUGCCCUGUGGAACAGGUGAAUAAAGCCUUCCCAGCAUCUCUCUCUAGCCUAUUAUCUCCUGUUAGACACAGCCCAGAAAAUGAAUAGAGACAAGUCCUGGCUGGGUCUGGGUUCAGAAACAUAAUAGAAGGAUUCAUCUAAUCUGUCGGCCACUGUGGAGGAAGUGAACCUUCUAGAUCCUGCUGACUCAUACAAUGAGUUUUGUGUGGACCAUCAGACAAAAGGGCUGGCUGGUGAAGGUGGCUGUUGUCUGGAAAUUCCUCCCAGCUCUCCUCUAAUUAUGUCAUAAGGACUGGAGGCCCCUUAGCCUGCUUGUGAUAACACGCAAGGAAAUAUGGGCCAACUCUUCACAUGAACACAAGAUAUUUCCAUGCUAGCCUUUUGCAAGUAACAACAGAGAGAGCUCUGUGCAGUUUUCACUGGAAUGCCUGUGGAUUGCUUGUGUCAUAACUGUAAUCUAAAGAGUUGUCCAUUUGUUGAUUCCUUUGUAUUUGUAUUGGUAGAAUUGCCACUAUCAAACCAAGAUCUUUAGCUGCCUUUGUAUCAACUUCUUUGGAGCUUAUGUGAUUUUCCAGAAAAUUUCCAAGGCAUAGUUUUGUCCCUAAGUCCCAUGAAUAUGUAAUAUUUUGUGUCUCUCUAUUAAAAUAGCACUUUUUGUGCAUUCCAUUAACAAA
rnacentral:lncRNA from 1 species